rnacentral:snoRNA from 1 species
GCAUGGCUCUGGAUUUAUGGUGGGUCUCACCCCAUGGCCCCCCAUAGUGUACCCCAUGCUACAGCAAGUUGCCUCCCCGAACCAUUGGCCAGGUGGCUCACCCCAGCCCUUGCCACUGAAGCGGGGGGCACAGCU